AGUGGCAUGUUCUGGACCCGAAGCGGGGUGAUCUACCCAUGGCCAGUGUGAAGCGGUGGUAAAACAUUGUGGAGGCGCGAACCCACUUAGGUUGAAAACUGAGGGGAUGAGCUGUGGGUAGGGGUGAAAGGCCAAUCAAACUCCGUGAUAGCUGGUUCUCCCCGAAAUGCAUUUAGGUGCAGCGUUGCGUGGUUGUUGUUGGUGGUAGAGCGACUGGUUGGUUGAUGCGGGACGAUCAUCUUAGCGAUGCCAGCUAAACUCCGAAUGCCAAUAAUAUGCGAGCGUGGCAGUGAGACGGCGGGGGAUAAGCUCCGUGACGUCGAGAGGGAAACAGCCCAGAUCGUCGGUUAAGGCCCCUAAGGGUGUGCUGAGUGGAAAAGGAGGUGUCAUCGCGAAGACAGCCAGGAGGUUGGCUUAGAAGCAGCCAUCCUUGAAAGAGUGCGUAAUAGCUCACUGGUUAAGUGGUGAUGCGCCGAUAAUGUAGUGGGGCUUAUAAAGUACACCGCCGAAACCGCGGCAACACACAUUGUGUGUGUGUUGGGUAGGGGAGCGUCGUGCAUGCGUGGAAGCUGUCACGGAAGUGGUGGUGGAGUGUGUGCGAGUGAGAAUGCAGGCAUGAGUAGCGAAAAACAUGUGGAAAACGUGUUCGCCGGAUGACUAAGGGUUCCUGGGUGAAGCUAAUCUUCCCAGGGUGAGUCGGGACCUAAGGCGAGGCCGACAGGCGUAGUCGAUGGAUAACGGGUUGAUAGUCCCGUACCCGUGUAUGCGCGACAAGUGGUGACUCGGUUGUACUAACCACCCACCACCGCGGGAUCAAUGCUUUUGGUGUUGGUUUGGUGUGUGGUGCGUGGGAUCUUGAUCGUUGGUAGCCAAGCGAUGGGGUGACACAGAUUGGUAGUCAAGGCCACUUAUUGGAUUGUGGUGUAAGCGUGUGGCCCGUAGGAUAGGUAAAUCCGUUCUGCAUAUAGGGUGAGGCGUGAUGCGUACCCAGAUUGUUGGGGAUGUUUGAUGUGCCUGUGCUGUCGAGAAAAGCCUCUAGCGAUGUGUGUGCACGGCCCGUACCGGAAACCGACACAGGUGGUCUGGUUGAGGAUACUAAGGCGUUCGGGUGAACUAUGGUUAAGGAACUCGGCAAAAUGCCCCCGUAACUUCGGGAGAAGGGGGGCCAUGUGCGGCAAUCACCCCUUGUGCGGUGUGCGUUGUGUGUGGCCGCAGAGAAGUGAGGGAAGCGACUGUUUAUUAAAAACACAGGUCCGUGCGAAGACGUUGCAAGUCGAGGUAUACGGACUGACGCCUGCCCGGUGCUGGAAGGUUAAGAGGACUCGUGAGCACGCCCUGGUGGUGUGUGAGGCGGGUAAUUGAAGCCCCAGUAAACGGCGGUGGUAACUAUAACCAUCCUAAGGUAGCGAAAUUCCUUGUCGGGUAAGUUCCGACCUGCACGAAUGGCGUAACGACUUCCCUGCUGUCUCAACCAUAGGCCCGGUGAAAUUGCAGUACGAGUAAAGAUGCUCGUUUCGCGCGGCAGGACGAAAAGACCCCGGGACCUUUACUAUAGCUUGGUAUUGGUGUGUGCUGCAGCUUGUGUAGGAUAGGUGGGAGACGUGGAAGCGCCCACGCUAGUGGGUGUGGAGUCAUUGGUGAAAUACCACUCUGGUUGUUGUGUGCAUCUAACUGUGGGCCCUGAUCGGGUUUUGGGACAGUGCCUGGUGGGUAGUUUAACUGGGGCGGUUGCCUCCUAAAUGGUAACGGAGGCGCCCAAAGGUUCCCUCGGCUUGGUUGGUAAUCAGGUUUGUAGAGUGUAAGUGCA
rnacentral:rRNA from 1 species